CACGUAGGGCGCAAGCGUUGUCCGGAAUUAUUGGGCGUAAAGAGCUCGUAGGUGGUUUGUUACGUCUGCUGUGAAAACCUAGGGCUUAACCCUGGGCUUGCAGUGGAUACGGGCAGACUAGAGGUAGGUAGGGGAGAAUGGAAUUCCUGGUGUAGCGGUGAAAUGCGCAGAUAUCAGGAGGAACACCGGUGGCGAAGGCGGCAUCCUGGACCAAUUCUGACGCUGAGGAGCGAAAGCCAGGGGAGCAAACGGG
rnacentral:rRNA from 1 species